rnacentral:rRNA from 1 species
UACGUAGGGUGCAAGCGUUAAUCGGAAUUACUGGGCGUAAAGCGUGCGCAGGCGGUUGUGCAAGACAGAUGUGAAAUCCCCGGGCUCAACCUGGGAAUUGCAUUUGUGACUGCACGGCUAGAGUGUGUCAGAGGGGGGUAGAAUUCCACGUGUAGCAGUGAAAUGCGUAGAGAUGUGGAGGAACACCGAUGGCGAAGGCAGCCCCCCUGGGUCAAGAUUGACGCUCGAUGCACGAAAGCGUAGGGGAGCAAACAGG